UUCUCGUUAAGUUUUCCAUCAUAAUGCACCUACGAUUGCAUCCGCAUCCUGCCAAAAUGUCGUUGAAGUAUUUUUUACUCACCUGUUUGAUUAUUACUCAAGCCAGUUGUCAAAAAUUGAAUAAAACCAUUGAAGAAGUACCAGAAGAUGUGGAGGAAACGCCAGAGUCCAAAGUGAUGGAUACCAUUAAGCGCACAUAUACAGAGUGUGCUAGUAAAGGUGACAUGUUUAAAUGUUUCAAGAUAAGAGCUCUUAAAAUGGCGCAGAGGGCGAUGAAAUCAAAGGAAAUUGAGGUUAUAACUGGUAUUGAUGUAAAACAAGUGAAGAAUUUGACGAGGCAGUCCAGAACUUUAGAUCGCACUGAAAGAAUGAAUGAAGAUCAACUGCAAGUGCUCGAAAAUGAAAGCAUCAAUGGUUUACUACUAGAUGUCGCUAAUAAUUUUAUGGAAUCUCACGUGAUUAAUAUAAAUCUCCCAAAACUGGUUGAAGAAGCGCGUGGUAGAAGGAAGAAAAAUCGUUUCGCGACGCCAUUUUGGCAGCGCUUGCAGUCAAAGGUAUCAUCAUGUCGAUGACCUAUAAAAGCAUCGCAGUGGUCGCCGGCACAGCGCUAAUCAUAGGCAAAAUGGCACUUGUUCUCGCCGCCAUCCUCGGCCUGAAGAAGCUGGUCAGCGGCGAAAAGGAGAAAACCACCGUCGAGAUCGUCAAGCAUCCGACGCAUUCCUCAAGCCACACACAUUCGAGCUCCUUUGAGGAAGGU